rnacentral:snoRNA from 1 species
UGAUGGUUGAAAUAUGAUGAGUCUGCAAAAUGUUGAUUAAAGUGAAAAACAGUAAGAUCCAACUCUGAUUUCAUAUAAAG